CCCUUAGAUGUUCUGGGCCGCACGCGCGCUACACUGAUGCAUUCAACGAGUCUAAAACCUGCUCUGAUAGGGGUGGGUAAUCUUUUGAAUGUGCAUCGUGAUUGGGAUAGAUGAUUGCAAUUUUUCAUCUUCAACGAGGAAUGCCUAGUAAACGCAAGUCACCAGCUUGCAUUGAUUACGUCCCUGCCCUUUGUACACACCGCCCGUCGCUCCUACCGAUUGAAUGAUCCGAUGAAUAUCAUAGACUGAGAGUAUAAGCAGGUUCGCCUGUCUUUGCUUCUCGGGAAGUGAAGUAAAUCUUAUCAUUUAGAGGAAGGAGAAGUCGUAACA
rnacentral:rRNA from 1 species